CUUUUAGCCGGCACACUUUGCAGGGGUUGGUUGUACGUAGCUUGGGGUAUGAGCAUUGUGGCAUCACGGGACAUUGUUUCAGCCUGCGACUUGAGGGUUAUGAGCUGGGGAAGAGACAGUUAAAGCUUCCACGCACCAGCAAGAUGAGUUGUACCACACAGCGCCCAUGCCAAGGUCAGCAGUCUGAAUGGAGCUGAGACACUUACUGCCCGUGCCAAGCAGUGCCAAGCACCUCUGGAAGCCCCUGCCUAGGACCCCCAAAUUUAGAUUCAUGCUGCAGUCUGGAGAGUGUUUUGACGGCUGCCGGGCUACAGGGAAAAGCGCACUGCACACUGCCUCUGAGAUGAGACAGAGCUCUCCAGGCUGGGAGUCUGGGGAAGCCGGACCUGGGUAGCGCUGCUCAGAUCCAAAUGACAAGUAUGUCUCCUGUAUUAUUCAAAACCGAAUUAAGCAGCAAAUAUUGACCAAGUCUACAUAUAAGCCUAUGGGUUGUAACUAUGUAUACAACACAGCAGCCCAGUUUCAUAAGGGAAGUAGACAUGGGUAUCCCUGGGUAAGCAGAGGCUGCCGAGAUACCAUUGGGAUACAUUGAGGAGAAGAUAUUGCAGCGAGGCAGGUUGAAUUCAUCUGCCUGCUUCCAUAGGCUCCAUCCAGACUAAGCUCUACAGGAACUGCCACCGAGACAGAAGUCUCUCUUUCCUCAGUCACUUGGCCCAACUCAAAUAAGUCCAAAGGACAGAAGAGUAAUGUGUGAAGUAGGAGCCACAGGGCAGGAGACGCCAAACCAGAGGGGCUGGAACUCACCUGAAGCUGAUGGAGCCCCCCUGCCUACUCCACUUCUGACAAGCCAGUUCAUGGAUGCUGUCCACAGAUUUUUUUCAUUGCUGGUGGUUUAAUGCUCUCUGUAGCCUUGUAAUGAUUCAACCAGACAGAGGAACCAAAGUCGAUCAGUCCAUGACUAAUAGGGACUCUCCGGUCCCAGGCUUCACCACAUUCUGAGCAGCCAACAGGUGCCACAUGGGAUGGUAAAGUGAUUUAGGCCAUGACCCCUUCAGGUUUUGUUUGUUUAUCUGCUUGUUUCUAAGGUUCAUUUUAUUUUUAUAGAUAUGUAUUUGUGUGUGGGUGUCUCUUUAAAUAUGUGCUACAUGAGUGUAUGUGCCCAUGUAAGCCAGGAGAAAGAAUUUAAAUUUCCUGGAGCUGGAGUUAAGUUCUCUCCCAUAGGUGUUGAGAACCAAACUCAGGUUCUUUUUUUGUUGUUGUUGUUCUUGUUGAUUUUUAUAUUUUGAGUGUGCUCACACACACACUCAUGUACCUACACGUGCAUGUCUGUGUAGACACAUGUGUACACUUGUCAUGCAGAGGUUUUGUAUACAUGUGGAAGUUAGAGAACAACUAGAGAAGUUGAUUCUCUCCUUUCACCCUGUUCGAAGGAUUGAACUCAGGGUCUUAAGCCUGGCAGCAAGGGCCUUUACCCAUUGAGCUACCUGACAGUCCCCUUUCUCCAGUAUUACUGAGUAAUUAUGUAUGAAUAAUUUUACAUGACAACAUUUUACAUGGGUGAAUAAAUAUUGAACUUAACU
rnacentral:lncRNA from 1 species